GUGAGGAAUAUUGGUCAAUGGACGAGAGUCUGAACCAGCCAAGUCGCGUGAAGGAAGACGGUUCUAUGAAUUGUAAACUUCUUUUGUGCAGGAAUAAAGUGGGUUACGUGUAACCUUUUGUAUGUACUGUACGAAUAAGGAUCGGCUAACUCCGUGCCAGCAGCCGCGGUAAUACGGAGGAUCCAAGCGUUAUCCGGAUUUAUUGGGUUUAAAGGGUGCGCAGGCGGGUUGAUAAGUCAGCGGUGAAAGUUUGUAGCUUAACUGUAAAAUGGCCGUUGAAACUGUCGAUCUUGAGUGCAAAUGAGGUAAGCGGAAUGUGUUGUGUAGCGGUGAAAUGCUUAGAUAUAACACAGAACACCGAUUGCGAAGGCAGCUUACUGGGAUGCAACUGACGCUCAUGCACGAAAGCGUGGGGAUCAAACAGGAUUAGAAACCCCGGUAGUCC
rnacentral:rRNA from 1 species